AUACCUUUCUCGGCCUUUUGGCUAAGAUCAAGUGUAGUAUCUGUUCUUAUCAGUAUAAUAUCUGAUACGUGGGCCAUUGGCUCACAUGAUAUUAAAUUAAUUUUUUAUUGGGGAGGACCCACUGCAGUAGCUUGCUACUGGGGUCUUCAAGGGUCGCCCAUUCGUUGCACUAUAGCAAGGGCCUGGCGCACCCACC
rfam:Jatropha curcas cultivar GZQX0401 scaffold250_208, whole genome shotgun sequence.